rnacentral:rRNA from 1 species
GUGGGGAAUAUUGGACAAUGGGCGCAAGCCUGAUCCAGCCAUACCGCGUGGGUGAAGAAGGCCUUCGGGUUGUAAAGCCCUUUUGUUGGGAAAGAAAUCCUGUCGAUUAAUACUCGGUGGGGAUGACGGUACCCAAAGAAUAAGCACCGGCUAACUUCGUGUCAGCAGCCGCGGUAAUACGAAGGGUGCAAGCGUUACUCGGAAUUACUGGGCGUAAAGCGUGCGUAGGUGGUGGUUUAAGUCUGCUGUGAAAGCCCUGGGCUCAACCUGGGAAUUGCAGUGGAUACUGGAUCACUAGAGUGUGGUAGAGGGAUGCGGAAUUUCUGGUGUAGCAGUGAAAUGCGUAGAGAUCAGAAGGAACAUCCGUGGCGAAGGCGGCAUCCUGGGCCAACACUGACACUGAGGCACGAAAGCGUGGGGAGCAAACAGGAUUAGAUACCCGAGUAGUCC